rnacentral:rRNA from 1 species
UACGUGGGGUGCGAGCGUUGUCCGGAAUUAUUGGGCGUAAAGAGCUCGUAGGCGGUGUGUCGCGUCGGCCGUGAAAACCUGCAGCUUAACUGUGGGCUUGCGGUCGAUACGGGCAUCACUGGAGUUCGGCAGGGGAGACUGGAAUUCCUGGUGUAGCGGUGAAAUGCGCAGAUAUCAGGAGGAACACCGGUGGCGAAGGCGGGUCUCUGGACAGUUCCUGACGCUGAGGCACGAAGGUCAGGGGAGCAAACGGG